ACUAGUGAUUGGUUUAAUUCGAUGCAACGCGAAGAACCUUACCAGGUCUUGACAUCCGACUAACGGAGCAGAAAUGCACUGGUGCCCGCAAGGGAAAGUCGAGACAGGUGGUGCAUGGUUGUCGUCAGCUCGUGUCGUGAGAUGUUGGGUUAAGUCCCGCAACGAGCGCAACCCUUGUCAUUAGUUGCUACGGGAAGAGCACUCUAAUGAGACUGCCGUUGACAAAACGGAGGAAG
rnacentral:rRNA from 1 species